rnacentral:rRNA from 1 species
GACGAACGCUGGCGGCGUGCUUAACACAUGCAAGUCGAGCGGUAAGGCCCUUUCGGGGGUACACGAGCGGCGAACGGGUGAGUAACACGUGGGUGACCUGCCCUCAGCUCUGGGAUAAGCCUGGGAAACCGGGUCUAAUACUGGAUAUGACUCCAUGACGCAUGUUGUGGGGUGGAAAGCCUUGUGCGGCUGAGGAUGGGCCCGCGGCCUAUCAGCUUGUUGGUGGGGUGAUGGCCUACCAAGGCGACGACGGGUAGCCGGCCUGAGAGGGCGACCGGCCACACUGGGACUGAGACACGGCCCAGACUCCUACGGGAGGCAGCAGUGGGGAAUCUUGCGCAAUGGGCGAAAGCCUGACGCAGCGACGCCGCGUGAGGAAUGACGGCCU